UCUCCGCCGCUCUCUGGGAAGAGAAAGAAAAAAGAACGAGAGAAACGAAGAGUAGAGAGAAAGAGGAAAGAGAAAAAAGUAUAAGGAUAUUUUGGUCAGUUUGCUGAAAAAGCGGACCGAAUCUGCAAAAACGAAAAAGCUGGCCCGAUUUUGCAAAAGUCCAAAAUAAGUGAAUUUUUUAUGCAAAUUGGCCUUAUAAUUUUAUUAAAACAAAUAAUUUAGCUUAAAUUGUAUUGAGCGAGUGAUCCGACGAUUUAAAUCAAACAAAUAUAAAAUACUAAAAUUAUUUAGGGUAAUGGCACAUUGGAACGUUUGGUCCUCAAACUAAAAGACUAACGACACUUUCGUUCUCACGCUUUACUUUUGUUGUAAUUUUUUAUUCAAACUUUUAGAAUUGUUGCAAUCAAAUCUGAUAAAUCAUAUAGGUUAUAUAGUAGUAAGGUAAUUAAUAGUGCACAAAUAAUUAAAAUAUCACAUCAUUUUACAUCAACGAUGCGUCAAAUAAAUUGAAUUGUGGGAUAUGAUUAUAAUAAUUUUGAAAGUUAGAGAUAAAAAUUAUAAUAAAUUAAAAUUUAAAGACUAUAUUAUCACCAGACUCAUAAUUUGAGAACCAAACGUGUAAUUUAUUAUUCUUAAAAUUUUGAACGAUCGGACAGUCAAAUCAAGAUGAAGUCAUAUAUUUUUAAUUUUUAAUUUUUUGAUUUGUGAAGAAAGUGGAUGGUUAAGAUAUUAAGCAUAAGACUAAUUAUGGAUGUACAAACCUACGGCCCUAAUUCAAAAAAUUCGACCGUUACACUCUCCCCGUCCCCAAAGAGCAAAAGUAUCUCCUUUCCUAAACCUCACAUGUUUUUAGGAGAUCAGUGGCACCAAAGGAAAACACUAACAAGACCACCUCGCCAAGAACAUCCUCCUCCUCCCACCUCUCCUGCGCCAUGAUCAAGCAGAGCAUCCUAAGCCCGGGGUUCCGGUCGGCAGCCGCCAUGGCCGGGUGGGACGAGGGAGUGUUGAAGCAUAAAAAAAAAGAGAGAGGAAUAAAAGAGGAAAAAAGAAAAAAAAAGGAGAGAGAAAGAAAUAAAAAAUAGAGAUGGUUUAUGAGAUUAUCCAUGCAUCAGGUGCAUGGAUAAAAUUUAAAUUUUGAAAAUAUCUUAUGCACCGGGAGUAUAAAUUACGAAAAGUGGGACGUUCUCGUAGAUACGAACGGGUAUUAAAAAAUAGCAUAUUAGCCCUUUCCCUUUCACGUAUUUACAAAAUGCUCCGCUUUAAUCAUAUAAUAUUUUAUUGUAUUGACUAAGGUGUAAUAUGAGCAAAGGGAAAGGACUAAUCCGCAAUAUUCCCACAAUCCCAUCGUAACCACCCAAUAUCUCCACGAUUCCAUCAUAACCAUCCAUUAUUUCACAAUCCCAUCGUGACCAUACAAAAUCUCUUCCACAAUCCUGGAUUCUCAUCGCACGUUUCCCUCAAAUCGGUUACAACCACCCUACAUCUCACGAACCUCAUACCCACGACCCCCGAAGCCAUCCGUACCUGCACCCAUAACGCACGUUUCCUCAACCACCUCAAACAAUCGUAGCACGUCCCCCUCAAAUCACCAUAAAUACCUCUCAAAAAAAUGGGAAGGGAGAGCUUUUUGAAUUUCAAAAAAAAAAUCUAGUCAAAAAAAAAGAAAAAGAUCCACUCGAUCCAUUGAAAAAAAAAAAGAAAAGGUAAAAAAAAAAAAACAUCUCUUUCCCGAUCAAAAAAAAAAAAAUAAGCUCUCUCUUCUAUCUCCUCUCUACCUUCUCUUUGCGCAACAGCAACCGAAAGCCCUAGAGCUCUCACUCCCUCUCCAAUGGCGGCCGUUGCGUGCCCCCUCAUCUCCGCACUCCGAUCCACUCCGACGUGGUGCGCUUCGUCCACGACUAGCUAUCCCAGAACCGGCACCCACCACGCCGGGCAGGGCGCCUUCAGCGACAUAUGCCGCAGCGGGCGUAUGUUUUCACCCAUCAAGAUCCGGCGCCGUCGGCACCGCCUCAUCGCUCCUCGCCGACCACGACCCGAAGCGUCGCUCCUCGCCAAUCGCCGCACCGAGGCGCACUCCGAGGCCGCCCGCGUCGCUCCUCGUCGACCACAACCCAAGGCGUCACCUUCGAGGCCGCCCGCAUUACUCCAAAACCGCCCCGCGCGCUGGCUCACCUUCGACUCCGAGGCCGUCCGCUUCGUCCCGAAGUUAUCCGCGACGGCGGUGACUCCAACACCACCCAGAGCUGCUGUCGCAAUCGCUCCCAAGCCGCGCACUCCAAAGCCGCCAACGUUGAAGCCGCCCGCUCCGAGGCUGUCCGCCCCGAGGCUACCCAAGUUCCCGUCGGACUUGGCGAUGUAUCGCUGCUUCCCCCUUCUCUGUCUGCUCCGAGAUCGCGACGUCGCCUUCUCCGAUCACAAGGAGAUCCUGAAGCAAAAUUACUGCGUCGUUCCCUCCACUUGUCACCUGUUCGACCAAAUGCCUCAUCGAGCCUCACCGCCGUCGAGCGCAGGCCGAGCCUCACCACCAUCGAGCGAAGGCCGAGCCGCACUGCUGCCAAGCCCGAGGAGGUCCGCUCUGUGUUGAGUGUAAGCCGAGCCGCAUUCAUGUCAAGCCUGAGGAGGCCCACUCCUCGGCCGAGUCUCAUUAUCGUCGAGCUCGGCCUCCCUUGUCUACUCCGAAUCGCGCCACCGCCGGGCCGCACCGUCGUCGAGCGUAGGCCGAGCCCGGGGAGGUCCGCUCAGCAGUCUAGCUGCGCCGCCGUCGAUCUUGUUCCAACGCCCCGAGACAUGCUCCGAAGCCGAGCCGCACCGAUCGUCAACCCCCCGAACACCGUCGCCAUCCACCUGUGCAAGAUGGUGCUAUUUGAGCAUCUACGGUGAACUUGGCGGGACGGCGAUAUCUAUCCGGAGUUGACGCCCGACGACCUCGUCACAACCGUAAAGACUGUGUGGCUCAAGCCACGCCCAUCAACCAUUCGGCGAAAUACUUCAACGGCGAGUCCAAUUUGCAUAAAGAGAGAGAGAGCGGUGCUCUUCUCUUUAAAAAAAAAAUGUGUUAUUAAAAGAGAAAGAGCGGUGCUCUCCUCUUCAUAAAAAUGCAGUAUUAUCAAGAGAGAGAGCGGUGCUCUCUUCUAAAAAGAGAGAGAGAUGUUACUUCUCCAAUGAUAAAAAAAAAGAGAGAAAGAGCGAUGCUUUUCUCUUUGCAAAAAAAAUAUAUUAUCAAAAGAGAAAGAGAUGAGAGAGCAUUGCCAUUGUUAGGGAGGCAAGGAAGGGAUUUUUUAUCCCGCCUUAGUUGUCCCACGACUGUAAAAGAGAUAAAAAUUUUAUUCAUCUCUGAUUAAAAAAAAAAAAGAAAAAAAAGUGUAUUCUCUUAAUUCUCCUUCAAUGAAGAAAUGAAAGAAAAUUGGUCGGAUUUCCGAUUAAUAUUCUUUUGAUUGUUCUUUUAAUAGUGUUCGAAAAUAAUCGAACCCUUUGAUUGAAUCUUUCGAUUUGGUCGAAUUAGAUCGAAUCGAGAUUUAAUUACAUUGGAUAUUGCAUGUGACGAAUAAUAAAACGCAUCAUAUCUUUGAUGAAUUUGAUUUUGAACCAUAUAUUGAUGUAUUUUUUAUCUGAAACAAGUUCUAAAUCUCAUACGAAAUAAGCCCGUUCUCACCUCAAAACCCAAGCUCAACAUAAUCCUAUAUUAGGCCCAAGCCCAAAUCCAAAGCCUAAAUCCAAACCCAAAAUAAACCCAAAUCCAAAUCCUAUAUUAAGCCCCAGUCCAAAUCCAAAAUGAGCCCAUAUUGAGCCCGAAUCCAUAUCCAAAAUGAUUUGGCCCAUAUUGAGCCUGAAUCCACAUCAAAAUGAAUUCAGCCCAAGUCUGAACCCAAUAACCAAUCUACACAACUAAACCAAAUCCAACCUAAACCCAACCCAAUUAAUUCCAAUCCAAUCAAGCUCAUAUCAAACCUCUUCUCUAGCAUAUAUAACUAGAGCCAAAUUUUGAUACAGUCAAACUCGAUCAAAUUCUAAAAAUGUUUGAUUAGAAUUGAUCAAACCAUAUACCAGGUUUCACCUAAUCAAAUCAAUUGAACUCUAAUAUAUCUACUUAGAGUUCAGAUAAAUGAAAUUAAAUUAAACUCUAAUACAUACACUUAGAGUUUAAUCUUGACUAAUCCUAACUUAUAGAAUUAGGAUUCAGUUGAUAUUUUACCUUAUGGUAAACCCAAAUUCAUCUAUUGAUUAAACUCUAAUACAUAUACUUAGAGUUUAAUUCCGGCUAAUCCUAACACAUAUAAUUAGGAUUUGGUCCGCAUCUCGCCACAUGGUGGACAUAAAUUCGCCUUAUAGUGAACCCAAAUGAAAUUAAAUUGGAC
rnacentral:lncRNA from 1 species